CUAUGCUAAUUCAGCAACAAAAUAUCCCAAUUUUCCUCACUAUGACAAAAUUAAUUUUUAUCUGUCUAUGAUCUUAAACACCAUUUUUUUUAUCACUUUGCAUCCAGCCGUAUAGAUUUAUCUGUUCAUGAUCUGAAAGCCAUUUUUUUUUAUCAUUUCGCACUUCUCUCUAAACAAUCUUUUCUGCAACAAUUUAAACCAUUUCAAACAUAAAAGGAAAGUCUCGAGUAAACA
rnacentral:lncRNA from 1 species